GACGAACGCUGGCGGCGUGCCUAAUACAUGCAAGUCGAGCGAGCUUGCCUAGAUGAAUUUGGUGCUUGCACCAGAUGAAACUAGAUACAAGCGAGCGGCGGACGGGUGAGUAACACGUGGGUAACCUGCCCAAGAGACUGGGAUAACACCUGGAAACAGAUGCUAAUACCGGAUAACAACACUAGACGCAUGUCUAGAGUUUAAAAGAUGGUUCUGCUAUCACUCUUGGAUGGACCUGCGGUGCAUUAGCUAGUUGGUAAGGUAACGGCUUACCAAGGCAAUGAUGCAUAGCCGAGUUGAGAGACUGAUCGGCCACAUUGGGACUGAGACACGGCCCAAACUCCUACGGGAGGCAGCAGUAGGGAAUCUUCCACAAUGGACGCAAGUCUGAUGGAGCAACGCCGCGUGAGUGAAGAAGGGUUUCGGCUCGUAAAGCUCUGUUGGUAGUGAAGAAAGAUAGAGGUAGUAACUGGCCUUUAUUUGACGGUAAUUACUUAGAAAGUCACGGCUAACUACGUGCCAGCAGCCGCGGUAAUACGUAGGUGGCAAGCGUUGUCCGGAUUUAUUGGGCGUAAAGCGAGUGCAGGCGGUUCAAUAAGUCUGAUGUGAAAGCCUUCGGCUCAACCGGAGAAUUGCAUCAGAAACUGUUGAACUUGAGUGCAGAAGAGGAGAGUGGAACUCCAUGUGUAGCGGUGGAAUGCGUAGGUAUAUGGAAGAACACCAGUGGCGAAGGCGGCUCUCUGGUCUGCAACUGACGCUGAGGCUCGAAAGCAUGGGUAGCGAACAGG
rnacentral:rRNA from 1 species